rnacentral:rRNA from 1 species
AUGUAGAACACGGACCAGACUCUCUACGGAGGCAGCAGUGAGGAAUAUUGGUCAUGGCGAGAGCUGAUCAGGCCAUCCCGCGUGCAGAUGACCGACCCUAUGGUUGUAAACUGCUUUUCUGCUCCAAGAAACCCAUUCUUACGUGUAGGUGGUUGACGGUAGAGUAGGAAUAAGCAUCGGCUAACUCCGUGCCAGCAGCCGCGGUAAUACGGAGGAUGCAAGCGUUAUCCGGAUUCAUUGGGUUUAAAGGGUGCGCAGGUUGGAAUGUAAGUCAGUGGUGAAAUACUGCCGCUUAACGGUAGAACUGCCAUUGAUACUGCGUUUCUUGAGUAUGGUUGAGGUAGGUGGAAUGUGUUGUGUAGCGGUGAAAUGCAUAGAUAUGACACAGAACGCCGAUUGCGAAGGCAGCUUACUAAGCCAUUACUGACGCUGAGGCACGAAAGCGUGGGGAUCGAACAGGAUUAGAUACCCUGGUAGUCCACGCCGUAAACGAUGAUCACUCGCUGUUUGCGAUAUACAGCAAGCGGCUGAGCGAAAGCAUUAAGUGAUCCACCUGGGGAGUACGAUCGCAAGGUUGAAACUCAAAGGAAUUGACGGGGGCCCGCACAAGCGGAGGAACAUGUGGUUUAAUUCGAUGAUACGCGAGGAACCUUACCUGGGCUUAAAUGUAGAUUGCAUGGAUUGGAAACAGUCCUUCCCUUCGGGGCUAUUUACAAGGUGCUGCAUGGUUGUCGUCAGCUCGUGCCGUGAGGUGUCGGGUUAAGUCCCAUAACGAGCGCAACCCUUAUCGUUAGUUGCCAGCGGGUAGAGCCGGGGACUCUAGCGAGACUGCCACCGUAAGGUGAGAGGAAGGUGGGGAUGACGUCAAAUCAGCACGGCCCUUAUGUCCAGGGCUACACACGUGUUACAAUGGCCGAUACAAAGGGCAGCUACUUCGCGAGAAGAUGCUAAUCUCUAAAGUCGGUCCCAGUUCGGAUUGGAGUCUGCAACCCGACUCCAUGAAGUUGGAUUCGCUAGUAAUCGCGCAUCAGCCAUGGCGCGGUGAAUACGUUCCCGGGCCUUGUACACACCGCCCGUCAAACCAUGGGAGCUGGGGGUGCCUGAAGUCUGCCACCGAGAGGAGCGGCCUAGGGUAAAACCAGUGACUGGGGUUAAGUCGUAACAAGGUAACCA